rnacentral:rRNA from 1 species
AUUGAACGCUGGCGGCAUGCCUUACACAUGCAAGUCGAACGGUAACGCGGGGCAACCUGGCGACGAGUGGCGAACGGGUGAGUAAUGCAUCGGAACGUGCCCAGUAGUGGGGGAUAGCCCGGCGAAAACCGGAUUAAUACCGCAUACGACCUACGGGUGAAAGCGGGGGACCGCAAGGCCUCGCGCUGUUGGAGCGGCCGAUGUCAGAUUAGGUUGUUGGUGGGGUAAAGGCCUACCAAGCCGACGAUCUGUAGCUGGUCUGAGAGGACGACCAGUCACACUGGGACUGAGACACGGCCCAGACUCCUACGGGAGGCAGCAGUGGGGAAUUUUGGACAAUGGGGGCAACCCUGAUCCAGCCAUGCCGCGUGCGGGAAGAAGGCCUUCGGGUUGUAAACCGCUUUUGUCGGGGAAGAAAUCUUCCGGGCUAAUACCUCGGGGGGAUGACGGUACCCGAAGAAUAAGCACCGGCUAACUACGUGCCAGCCGCCGCCGUAACAC